rnacentral:piRNA from 1 species
CUUCUCUGAGCUGGCUGAAGACA